rnacentral:rRNA from 1 species
GAUGAACGCUGGCGGCGUGCCUAAUACAUGCAAGUCGAGCGAACAGACGAGGAGCUUGCUCCUCUGACGUUAGCGGCGGACGGGUGAGUAACACGUGGAUAACCUACCUAUAAGACUGGGAUAACUUCGGGAAACCGGAGCUAAUACCGGAUAAUAUAUUGAACCGCAUGGUUCAAUAGUGAAAGACGGUUUUGCUGUCACUUAUAGAUGGAUCCGCGCCGCAUUAGCUAGUUGGUAAGGUAACGGCUUACCAAGGCGACGAUGCGUAGCCGACCUGAGAGGGUGAUCGGCCACACUGGAACUGAGACACGGUCCAUGCUCCUACGGGAGGCAGCAGUAGGGAAUCUUCCGCAAUGGGCGAAAGCCUGACGGAGCAACGCCGCGUGAGUGAUGAAGGUCUUCGGAUCGUAAAACUCUGUUAUUAGGGAAGAACAAAUGUGUAAGGAACUAUGCACGUCUUGACGGUACCUAAUCAGAAAGCCACGGCUAACUACGUG